rnacentral:rRNA from 1 species
UACGAAGGGGGCUAGCGUUGCUCGGAAUCACUGGGCGUAAAGGGCGCGUAGGCGGCCAUUCAAGUCGGAGGUGAAAGCCCAGGGCUCAACCCUGGAAUUGCCUUCGAUACUGUCUGGCUAGAGACCGGAAGAGGUAAGUGGAACUGCGAGUGUAGAGGUGAAAUUCGUAGAUAUGGGGAGGAACACCGGUGGCGAAGGCGGCCACCUGGACGGUAACUGACGCUGAGACGCGAAAGCGUGGGGAGCAAACAGG